rnacentral:rRNA from 1 species
AUUGAACGCUGGCGGAAUGCUUUACACAUGCAAGUCGAACGGCAGCACGGACUUCGGUCUGGUGGCGAGUGGCGAACGGGUGAGUAAUGUAUCGGAACGUGCCCAGUCGUGGGGGAUAACGUAGUGAAAAUUACGCUAAUACCGCAUACGAUCUAUGGAUGAAAGCGGGGGAUCGCAAGACCUCGCGCGAUUGGAGCGGCCGAUGUCAGAUUAGGUAGUUGGUGGGGUAAAGGCCCACCAAGCCAACGAUCUGUAGCUGGUCUGAGAGGACGACCAGCCACGCUGGAACUGAGACACGGUCCAGACUCCUACGGGAGGCAGCAGUGGGGAAUUUUGAACAAUGGGCGAAAGCCUGAUCCAGCCAUUCCGCGUGCAGGAUGAAGGCCCUCGGGUUGUAAACUGCUUUUGUACAGAACGAAAAGGUUUCUACUAAUACUAGGAGCUCAUGACGGUACUGUAAGAAUAAGCACCGGCUAACUACGUGCCAGCCGCCGCCGUAA